AAAGCCCUUGCCUCAUUGAUGAUGCUCAUCUCUUGGGAGGUUUGGUCCGAGAAAAACGCUGUCUUCCGCAACGUGGCGGUUCCAUCGAUGGUCAUCAUCAACAAGAUCAAGCAUGAGGCGUCGCUUUGGGCUUUGGCGGGUGCCAAGCACUUGAGUAUUGUAAUGCCACGAGAGUAA
rnacentral:rRNA from 1 species